rnacentral:rRNA from 1 species
AACGAACGCUGGCGGCAGGCUUAACACAUGCAAGUCGAGCGCCCCGCAAGGGGAGCGGCAGACGGGUGAGUAACGCGUGGGAAUCUACCGUGCCCUACGGAAUAGCUCCGGGAAACUGGAAUUAAUACCGUAUACGCCCUACGGGGGAAAGAUUUAUCGGGGUAUGAUGAGCCCGCGUUGGAUUAGCUAGUUGGUGGGGUAAAGGCCUACCAAGGCGACGAUCCAUAGCUGGUCUGAGAGGAUGUUCAGCCACAUUGGGACUGAGACACGGCCCAAACUCCUACGGGAGGCAGCAGUGGGGAAUAUUGGACAAUGGGCGCAAGCCUGAUCCAGCCAUGCCGCGUGAGUGAUGAAGGUCUUAGGAUUGUAAAGCUCUUUCACCGGUGAAGAUAAUGACGGUAACUGGAGAAGAAGCCCCGGCUAACUUCGUGCCAGCAGCCGCCGUAAAAC